GAUGAACGCUGGCGGCGUGCCUAAUACAUGCAAGUCGAGCGAACAGACGAGGAGCUUGCUCCUCUGACGUUAGCGGCGGACGGGUGAGUAACGCGUGGAUAACCCACCUAUAAUACUGGGAUAACUUCGGGACACCGGAUCUAAUACCGGAUAAUAUAUUGAACCGCGUGGUUCAAUGGUGAAUGACGGUUGUGCUGUCAGUUCUAGAUGGAUCCGCGCCGCAUUAGCUAGUUGGUACGGUCACGGCUUACCACGGCAACGAUGCGUGGCCGACCGGAGAGGGUGAUCGGCCACACUGGAACGGAGACACGGUCCAGACGCCUACGGGAGGCAGCAGUAGGGAACCUUCCGCAAUGGUCGAAAGCCUGACGGAGCAACGCCGCGUGAGUGAUGAAGGUCUUCGGAUCGUAAAACUCUGUUAUUAGGGAAGAACAAAUGUGUAAGUAACUAUGCCCGUCUUGACGGUACCUAAUCAGAAAGCCACGGCUAACUACGUG
rnacentral:rRNA from 1 species